rnacentral:rRNA from 1 species
AAUAGAUACCCGGGUAGUCCACGCCGUAAACGAUGAAUGCUAGGUGUCAGGGGUUUCGAGACCCUUGGUGCCGAAGUUAACACAUUAAGCAUUCCGCCUGGGGAGUACGGCCGCAAGGCUGAAACUCAAAGGAAUUGACGGGGACCCGCACAAGCAGUGGAGCAUGUGGUUUAAUUCGAAGCAACGCGAAGAACCUUACCAGGUCUUGACAUCCCUCUGAAUACGCCAGAGAUGGCGCAGGCCCUUCGGGGACAGAGGAGACAGGUGGUGCAUGGUUGUCGUCAGCUCGUGUCGUGAGAUGUUGGGUUAAGUCCCGCAACGAGCGCAACCCUUAGGUCUAGUUGCCAGCACUUCGGGUGGGCACUCUAGAGCGACUGCCGGUGACAAACCGGAGGAAGGCGGGGAUGACGUCAAAUCAUCAUGCCCCUUAUGACCUGGGCUACACACGUGCUACAAUGGCCGGUACAAAGGGCAGCGAAGCCGCGAGGCGGAGCCAAUCCCAAAAAGCCGGUCUCAGUUCGGAUUGCAGG